rnacentral:tRNA from 1 species
GCGGGUGUGGCGGAAUGGCAGACGCACAGGACUUAAAAUCCUGAGAGGGCAACUUCGUGUGGGUUCAAGUCCCACCACCCGCACCA